AAUGAGUCCUUGCAAAAUCUGGAGGAGAGGGGUUGUGAUGGAAGAGAAAGGGAAGGAAAGGCUCUGCUGCUUUUCUUCUGCUGCUUUGAGCAUCGUUACCGUGUGUGUCCAGUCUGAGCAGAAGCAGCAGGAAAGGAAAAGAAGAGGGGCAGAGGAAGAGGAAAAACCCAACCUCGUUCAGCAUGUUCUGCAAAUGCAGCUUCUUCUUCCGCAUGAGCAAACAGACCACGAUGGACUCCUGGGUGAUGGGUAGAGAAGUUCAGAAAGCUGCCAGGGAGCACCUAAUCCACGAGUCGGGACUGCUGAUGUUUGCUUCAGCCUGGUAUCCCAUGAGUUAUUGAAUCCAGAUUUUCAGGUGGAAAGCCCUGUUUUGCUGGUGAAGCCAUCAGCCUGCCUUGCACUGAUCUCACAGCUCUAUAGGAUGCCUUCAACCCCACGCUACAAUCAAAAGGAACAGUGUUAGGAUGGAAGCACUUGAAUUUAAAUCACUACUGCCCUGCCAUAACAAGGGUACCCAGCGAGGUGGUGAAGUCACUGUCCCUGGAGAUGUUCAAGAACAGAGAUGUGGCACUUGGGAACAUGUGCCUGGAAAGUACACAAGCAUUGCCAACAAGAAAUAAGUGAUGCAGGGGUCGCACAGAUGAGAAAGCGGGGAGUAAUAUGAUUAAUAGAGAACUGGCAAGGAAGAUGUGCUUUCUAACAGCUCACCAAGAAAAGGAGGAGAGUCCCAGCAUGGGGAGCUUGCAUUUUCCAGUAGGCACAACUCCAGAAGACAUGCUGCUGAGGACAGCCCCAUCCUGCAGACCCACAGCAAUGGGCAGGACGGCGGCUGCAGCUCGUCUGCCACUUGCUGUCUGCAAUCUCUCCCAUUUUCACACAUACUCCAGACUUGCAAUACCGGCUCUGAAAGCAAUAAGAAGUUGCAAGAUUAAUUGCUUUGAAAGCACGAAAGGAACAGAAAAUGCCUGAAGGCACUGGGACAGAUAAUAUGUUGUAUUCAUAAAGGUUUUAAUAAUUUAUUACCAGCAGCUGUAUAAAGUUAUUCUGUCCCCAUCCACUACUCCUCUCCAAGGACGGCUGGAGGCAGCUUGAUUUCUGCUCAAGGAGCGCAAAUCAAAGGACUCCUUGAGUCCUUCUAGGUGGAGUCAUAUUUUAUUAACCAAAGAAAUGUGUUUAUUGGUGAGAAAUUAAGUGCUUCCCCUUUGCUUGGGGUUCAUAAAGAGUUCCAGAUUAAUACCCUGGAAAUUGAAGAUUGCAUUCUCCUUGGUGCUCACAGUGGAAGGAGUUAAGCACGGAUUUGCAAUUAAGCACACACCUGAGUGAUCUCCUGAAACCCCCGUGCUACAGAGGCUCCUGUC
ensembl:lncRNA